UACGAAGGGUGCAAGCGUUACUCGGAAUUACUGGGCGUAAAGCGUGCGUAGGUGGUUUUUUAAGUCCGUUGUGAAAGCCCUGGGCUCAACCUGGGAAUGGCAGUGGAUACUGGAAAGCUAGAGUGCGGUAGAGGGUAGUGGAAUUCCCGGUGUAGCGGUGAAAUGCGUAGAUAUCUGGAGGAACACCGGUGGCGAAGGCGGCAUCCUGGACCGAUACUGACGCUGAUGAGCGAAAGCCAGGGGAGCAAACGGG
rnacentral:rRNA from 1 species